GGGGUACAAAAAUAUAUACAUUCCGUUAAUAUGUUAAGUGUACAAAUCACAUUUUAAACAGACCUAUAUUAUGGUAGGUAUUUCGAAUACAUGGAUUUGUCAAAUCAAAUCCUGGCAAUAUCAUUGGAUCAGAAUCAAUAAAUAUUGGUAAAGACCAACUGCCAAAACCAACCAAUUUCUUCAGGUAAACAGUGUUUUGAGGAGGUACCAUUUAAUAAUGUACAUAUAUUGUAAUAUACUGAUAUACUGAUACAUAGACUGUUCUAUGCAGUCUCGACGUGAGCCGAGCACGCGACCAAGAUUACCAAAUGCUAUAACUCGCUAAUCAGGGUGCAGUCCUUAAGUUACCUGAGCGUACCGCACCGUAUCAACUGUCGUCGUCUCGCUACUAACAUGUACACUUCCAGGGAAUCUCCUUGCCCUAAAGAGGAAAAAAAAUCAGCUCAAAGAUCGAAGAUCCGGACAAGAGCAAGUCCUCAUCCAAGAUCCUAUGCACGGAGCUCAACAUUGUCAUCAACGCGUGGUCCAACAGGUGGAACCGCACGACCAAGGCGGCUUUGAACUCGCAGGGUUCUCCCAGAUCUGAGGAAAUAGGUAUCGAGACACUCUAAGGACCUCACUUUUCACGUCACGCAGGUCCUUACAGGUCACGGGUGCUUCAGGCACUAUCUCUUACGGAUGGAACGAGCCCCAGACGCGGAGUGCCUAUACUGCCGACACUCAUUCGGAAGACACCCUCGAGCACACGCUAAUCGUAUGCCCUCACUGGGAACACCGGCAGAGCGUAUAUUGGCGGAUGAAACAGCUUUCAGCGACGUCCAAAACUUGUUCUGCAGCCCCGAAGAUACAUUUCAUCCGGAGUUUUAUACAAUCAGAUCGAGGCAGCCUUCUUUUGCGGCUUACAGUCUUACCGCAUAGAGGGCAUAAUGAGCAGUAAGGAGCGAGACGAGAGUAUAAAUAAAACUGAGGCAAGGGCUGACCAGCUGCCUCAUUAGUCCUGGGCAACAAAGUCUGCACCUAGCCACUGGCUCAAGGUCAAGUACAGGUUAAAUUAAGUUAGCAAUUAGCAUAAUGUUAGAAGGUGACGCGAUUCUACUACUCACCUCUCACCAUAGUUUUAAUUAACAUAGUUAACAAUGUGAGCCUGAUCCGCAAAAGGGAAAACAGGAUUUUAUAAAACAUUACUUAAUUGUGCUUAUUAAUAAACGAUAGCAGUGGUGAGGUAGCAAUGUGAAAACUUAUCUCCCACUGCUGUUGGUAAAUUGAAAAAAAAAAAUAAACAUAUUCUAAAUUAAUUAAUCUAUUUUUAGAGCAUUGAAACAUCCUAUUGAUUAAACAUUGUGUGGAGUGUUAAACAGAUCGGACAGGUUUUGUGAAUUUGGUGGCAUAUUAGCCAUAUUCUGUUUUCCAUUUAUAGUACUUACCCAUAGAUAAAUGUGCGACAUAUAACAAAAUUUAAAAUAAACAUAAGUUGUGAAAUGUUUUACAAGUACGUUUUAAACUUGUAGAUUAUUUAUAUAUAGAUACUAGUUAGGUGUUUUUUGAGUUUCAAAGAAAUGCGACUGUUACAAUCUGUUCUGAGUUGUAUCGUGAACUGAGUUUCUGUUAUGGUUAUGUGACUUAACAUGAACUAAAUAUCUACUUAAUACUACUUACCAGUUAUUAAAGUAUCUAUUGAUUUUCUGUACGAUUAAAUCAUAGUAAAUAAAAUAUUAAUAUCACCUAAUUUUUAAAACAAC